CUGGGGACAGGCUUGUGGGUCCUUCUGGCAGGCCGGACUUUGGAGUUGGACCGACGCUCGCUUGGGGAAGGUCCCCCUGAACAUCCGCUUAGGAGUCAGUUCAACAGGCUGUGAUCAUCCCAAAGCCAGAAUUCAGUCAAGUCUCAGAGGAGGACUCAGCCCAGCUGACAUGUCAAGUGAAGCUGGGGAGACCCUAAGCAGAAGACCCCACUAAAAUGUGGUCAACCUCCUCCCAGAAACAGAGAAACAAGUCUGUAGGUCCAUCCUACAUUCAAGGGAAGAGGACCACACAAAAGUGAAAAUACCAUAAAUGGAGGUCAUCUCAGAGGCUGCUUACUAGUUCCCUGCUGAAAAACAAAAGAUAUGUGUAUGUAUGUAUGGGGUUUGUGUGUGUGUGUAUCUUGAAAGUAGCCAUAGAAAACAUGCCAUAUUCUGGGAAUUACAGAUGACUUCUUGCCCUAAAUAAUGGAAGCUAAGAGACAACAGAAUAUCUUCUUUUAAUGUCAAAAAAAAAAAAAAAGAAAGAAAGAAAGAAAAGAAAAGAAAAUCACCUGCAAAGUCCCCAAUCUCUGCCACCACUUAAUGCACUGUCUUCAGUCCCCUUUAUGCACAUGGCAUAGUAUGAAAAGUAACAUUUCCCAGCUGACCCCAAGCAUGUCAUGAUCUUGCACUGCUUAGUGUCUUUACAAACAUUGGUCUAUCAGGUUCUUAGGGUGCUAUAGUGUCUUGAAGAAAGUAUGAGAAUAAAAAUUAUCAUGUUUUGAAACCCAUCUCUAACAUCUGUAUGACCUUGGGCAUAUCUCACUUCUCUAAGCCUCAGUAGCCAUAAUGGGGAAACGUUCAUAAUAACCAUGCUGGACUUUACUGAGAAUUAAAUGAGAUUGCAUGUGAAAAUUGCCUGUCACAUAGCACCUCAUAGAUGUAAAUUCCUUCCUGCUAGCAACCUCCUACCCAUUCUUCAAGAUCCAGCUCAGAUGUCCUCUCAUCUCUGAAGCUAUCUCAGCCCCCGUCUCCUGUACAAUCUCAGAGCUUCUUGAACAACCCACCCUAUAUUAUGAUACUUACCACCCCACACUAUCACGGUCUGUUUCCAAAUCUCCGUCUUCCAGGAAACACUAAGCUCUCCCAUUCAUCCUUGUUUCGUUGGUGCUCACAGGUGCCUGGCUCCAUAUUAUGUGCUUGGUGACUAUGUGUAAUUUGAUUGGAAACAGUUGAAGGUUGAAAUGAUCUUAUGCUGAGCACAUUCAUACUGUGAACUAACCAGCAUCCCACCCAUCCUUACCAAUUUCCUUGCCUGUUAUCAUGACUUCCAUGGCCCCUCCCUAAGGUUUGCCUCACUUGUCACCUUCACUGAACACCCUGUAUAAAACAGCACCCUCUCAUUACUCUUUUCUCUUAUCCUGACUAAUGUUUUUCCAUAUUAUUUUUCCUCCCCCAACACAUAUCUUGCUCUCCCCCCAGCCCCCGAGAGAAGAUAAGUUCCAGAUUUUUGUGUCUUGUUCACUGUGUAUCAUCAGAUUCAAGAAGAGUGCCUGGCAUAUCAUAGACAUUUAAUAAUUAUUUGUCAAAUUAAUCCGCUAAUCUCAUGAAGUUGUCAAGAGGUUUGACUCUUUUGCGUCAGUGCCUUGUAGGUAUUGUGCUCUUGAUGCAUGUCUAU